rnacentral:rRNA from 1 species
UUAAUUUGAGAGUUUGAUCCUGGCUCAGGACGAACGCUGGCGGCGUGCCUAAUACAUGCAAGUCGAACGAACUCUGGUAUUGAUUGGUGCUUGCAUCAUGAUUUACAUUUGAGUGAGUGGCGAACUGGUGAGUAACACGUGGGAAACCUGCCCAGAAGCGGGGGAUAACACCUGGAAACAGAUGCUAAUACCGCAUAACAACUUGGACCGCAUGGUCCGAGCUUGAAAGAUGGCUUCGGCUAUCACUUUUGGAUGGUCCCGCGGCGUAUUAGCUAGAUGGUGGGGUAACGGCUCACCAUGGCAAUGAUACGUAGCCGACCUGAGAGGGUAAUCGGCCACAUUGGGACUGAGACACGGCCCAAACUCCUACGGGAGGCAGCAGUAGGGAAUCUUCCACAAUGGACGAAAGUCUGAUGGAGCAACGCCGCGUGAGUGAAGAAGGGUUUCGGCUCGUAAAACUCUGUUGUUAAAGAAGAACAUAUCUGAGAGUAACUGUUCAGGUAUUGACGGUAUUUAACCAGAAAGCCACGGCUAACUACGUGCCAGCAGCCGCGGUAAUACGUAGGUGGCAAGCGUUGUCCGGAUUUAUUGGGCGUAAAGCGAGCGCAGGCGGUUUUUUAAGUCUGAUGUGAAAGCCUUCGGCUCAACCGAAGAAGUGCAUCGGAAACUGGGAAACUUGAGUGCAGAAGAGGACAGUGGAACUCCAUGUGUAGCGGUGAAAUGCGUAGAUAUAUGGAAGAACACCAGUGGCGAAGGCGGCUGUCUGGUCUGUAACUGACGCUGAGGCUCGAAAGUAUGGGUAGCAAACAGGAUUAGAUACCCUGGUAGUCCAUACCGUAAACGAUGAAUGCUAAGUGUUGGAGGGUUUCCGCCCUUCAGUGCUGCAGCUAACGCAUUAAGCAUUCCGCCUGGGGAGUACGGCCGCAAGGCUGAAACUCAAAGGAAUUGACGGGGGCCCGCACAAGCGGUGGAGCAUGUGGUUUAAUUCGAAGCUACGCGAAGAACCUUACCAGGUCUUGACAUACUAUGCAAAUCUAAGAGAUUAGACGUUCCCUUCGGGGACAUGGAUACAGGUGGUGCAUGGUUGUCGUCAGCUCGUGUCGUGAGAUGUUGGGUUAAGUCCCGCAACGAGCGCAACCCUUAUUAUCAGUUGCCAGCAUUAAGUUGGGCACUCUGGUGAGACUGCCGGUGACAAACCGGAGGAAGGUGGGGAUGACGUCAAAUCAUCAUGCCCCUUAUGACCUGGGCUACACACGUGCUACAAUGGAUGGUACAACGAGUUGCGAACUCGCGAGAGUAAGCUAAUCUCUUAAAGCCAUUCUCAGUUCGGAUUGUAGGCUGCAACUCGCCUACAUGAAGUCGGAAUCGCUAGUAAUCGCGGAUCAGCAUGCCGCGGUGAAUACGUUCCCGGGCCUUGUACACACCGCCCGUCACACCAUGAGAGUUUGUAACACCCAAAGUCGGUGGGGUAACCUUUUUGGAACCAGCCGCCUAAGGUGGGACAGAUGAUUAGGGUGAAGUCGUAACAAGGUAGCCGUAGGAGAACCUGCGGCUGGAUCACCUCCUUUCUAAGGAA